CAGCAUCAACCGAGUUCCCCCAGUAGCGGCGAGCGAACGGGGAGCAGCCCAGAGUCUGAAUCAGCUUGUGUGUUAGUGGAACCGUCUGGAAAGUCGCGCGGUACAGGGUGAAAGCCCCGUACACGAAAAUGCACAGGCUGUGACUCGAAGAGUAUGGCUGGACACGUGCUA
rnacentral:rRNA from 1 species